CGGGUGUAGUUCACCGGUAGAACACUAGCCUUCCAAGCUGGUUGAGUGGGUUCGACUCCCAUCACCC
rnacentral:tRNA from 1 species